rfam:Triticum aestivum genome assembly, contig: Triticum_aestivum_CS42_TGACv1_scaffold_273787_3DS
UUUAUACUCCCUCCGUCCCAAAAAGUUUGUUCCUCAAAUGAAUGUAUCUAGCACCAAGUUAGUGCUAGAUACAUCAAUUUCAGGGACAAAUUUUUCCGGACGGAGGGAGUAUUCA